GGGCUGCAGUGGGGAAUAUUGGACAAUGGGCGAAAGCCUGAUCCAGCCAUGCCGCGUGUGUGAAGAAGGUCUUCGGAUUGUAAAGCACUUUAAGUUGGGAGGAAGGGCAGUAAGCUAAUACCUUGCUGUUUUGACGUUACCGACAGAAUAAGCACCGGCUAACUUCGUGCCAGCAGCCGCGGUAAUACGAAGGGUGCAAGCGUUAAUCGGAAUUACUGGGCGUAAAGCGCGCGUAGGUGGUUUGUUAAGUUGGAUGUGAAAGCCCCGGGCUCAACCUGGGAACUGCAUCCAAAACUGGCAAGCUAGAGUAUGGCAGAGGGUGGUGGAAUUUCCUGUGUAGCGGUGAAAUGCGUAGAUAUAGGAAGGAACACCAGUGGCGAAGGCGACCACCUGGGCUAAUACUGACACUGAGGUGCGAAAGCGUGGGGAGCAAACAGGAUUAGAUACCCGAGUAGUC
rnacentral:rRNA from 1 species